UGUCCAGACAACAGCAGGUCACAGUGCUUCAAGUUGUCAUACAGAGCAGACAGGAACUCCUUAAUUCCCUCGCCAUCUAUAGGAGGAAUGUGACAUCUGAACCAGGAGGGCAGUUCUCAGUUGCAGGUGUGCUGACACUUCCAAGGUUUUUUAAAAGUCUUUCACAGUAGGUCAGAAGAGGGACUGUCAGGAUAAAAUAAAUAGAUCUACUUCCAACAUGUAUAGAUUGUGUGGUACAAGGCAUAACCUCUUACGGUGUUGUGAACCAUAACAAAACUGUAACACAAACUCUGUAAGCAACCCAGAUCAAACAUCCUGCAAAUGGAUGUAGAAACAAAGUCCAACAAAGAGCAGUCUUGCUCCUUCCUGAUAAAAGCCCUUCUGUUCUGGCAAGAGGAAACAGUAUUGACAAUGAAUGACAUUAAUCAACCCUGCUUGGACAUGGCCACUAUUACUACAUGAUAUGGGAGAGUAACUGUUAGGUUCUGUAAACAUGCCUUGCCUUGCCUUUUUACUGUAGAACCUAUCAGAGUCGCAACAGGAAGGAUCAAGGAUUGGCUAAGGUGAAGAGCACAGGUCAAAACUGGGGGAGUUCGAACCUAAUAAACCACCUGUAGAGGUCAGAUAACCUUGACCUAUUAUUUGGAGGAAACAAUAACACCAGCAAGAAAAAUAUUGACUUGCUGCAAUGAAUGAGAGUUACAUGCAUGGAAUAGUGUUGCCCUGGAAAAAAUGUAAAGUUUCAUUUUUCUUUCCAAAUGUUUUGAUAAAUUACAACAACAUCUUUUUUUUUAUAGAAAAUUUCAGCCCAUGAACCUUUUUUAAAUAAGACGCUAUAGAAAAAUGCAUGGAUACCAGUUUGCUUUUUGUGACCAAAAGUAUGUAUAUGUCAAUACACUUUGAGCAUCUUAAGUAAAUUUCCGGCGGAUACAGUUAUCAAAGUUUAAUGCAACAGUCCUUUUGACUCUGUCUCCAGAUGCAAGACAAUCACUGUUUACAUUUCAGAAGUGAUAGGAAGAGAAAGCGACAUAUCUCUGAUACCUGUGUAUUUUAAGAUGCUGUGUUCUGAUACCUGUGUAUUUUAAGAUGCUGUGCUAUUACAUGCCUGAGUAUCCCAGGGACAAAUGUCAGUAUGUGACAUGACAUGAAACUGGUGACAUGAUAGGAGGAGCAGAAUUUUUCUGAUGAUAGGAAUCAAGAAACAUCCCAAAAUGAAUCUUUUUAGAAUUUGUCAAACACUACCAAAUGACUAUAAUCUCAAGAGUAUUAUACAAUCAGCAAGAAAAGUUUUAAUGUAAUGAACAAAACUAAAG